rnacentral:rRNA from 1 species
AUACGGAGGGGGUUAGCGUUGUUCGGAAUUACUGGGCGUAAAGCGCACGUAGGCGGACUGGAAAGUUGGGGGUGAAAUCCCGGGGCUCAACCCCGGAACUGCCUCCAAAACUUCCAAUCUAGAGAUCGAGAGAGGUAAGUGGAAUUCCUAGUGUAGAGGUGAAAUUCGUAGAUAUUAGGAGGAACACCAGUGGCGAAGGCGGCUUACUGGCUCGAUACUGACGCUGAGGUGCGAAAGCGUGGGGAGCAAACAGGAUUAGAAACCCCUGUAGUCC